rfam:Triticum urartu cultivar G1812 contig1020830, whole genome shotgun sequence.
AUGACCUUACUUGAACAGGAUCUGUUCUAUAGGCUUGUACCGCUGCAUCCUUUACCAAUAAGGAGGCAAGCACUUCAGUCUGGUUGAUGCAUUCUGACCUCUGGGCCAGAGCGUGAUUAACGGCCUGGGUUCAUCUGAUGGGUGCAUCCAACGGCUGUAGAGGAUCGUUCCUGUCUGGUUCACACUGGUGCAGGGCGGCUCAGUGACUACACAAAAU